ACAGCAGCAGCCGCGGUAAUACGUAGGGUGCAAGCGUUAAUCGGAAUUACUGGGCGUAAAGCGUGCGCAGGCGGUUCGUUAAGACAGAUGUGAAAUCCCCGGGCUUAACCUGGGAACUGCAUUUGUGACUGGCGGGCUAGAGUAUGGCAGAGGGGGGUAGAAUUCCACGUGUAGCAGUGAAAUGCGUAGAGAUGUGGAGGAAUACCGAUGGCGAAGGCAGCCCCCUGGGCCAGUACUGACGCUCAUGCACGAAAGCGUGGGGAGCAAACAGGAUUAGAUACCCCGUGUAGUCCCUGUCUCUUAUU
rnacentral:rRNA from 1 species